CAUGCAUGCUCUCCUACACAAAGCAAAGCAUGGUCGUUUGCAAAUUGCAGAUCAUGUUUCGGAAAUAGGUAUCGGUAGAGUUAAUUUCCGCGGGCCACCUCGUCGGCGUUAAGAUUUUCGUAUCGGAGAUAAGAGGAGUGAGGGAGGGAGACUUGGUGACCGAUAAGCUGGCUAAAUAAUAAGUUGAAGCGAACAGGUCGGGAGGGAGGGAGAGGGCUCCCGUCGCUGGAGAUCGAUGGGCUCCUCUGAUUCUUGUGCGGGAGAGGAGGAGAGACAAAUUGUGGGGAGGAAAGAAUCUGAGAAACAUCGCUGUGUGUCAUCCCAACCCGCCGCCGUUUAGCCGGAACUCCACAUGGGUAGCAAAGGAAAUGAGCAGCAGGAAUACUGUUUUGCCGAAGAACUACUGAGGGAAGAAAUAUUGUCAAAGACAUAACUGAACCCAAAGAAAUGCAGGAUCUGUAUGGCUAUACCUGAGCUCUCUAACAUCAAUAUACUGAGCACGAAGGAUCUCCGAUUUCUGCCUUCUAAGCCUGUUCGGUGCAGUCCUCGUUUGACCAUCUGCGAGGCAAAGUAGAUAAGUAGAUUGCAUCAGCAUACAGAACGACAAGCCAAUCUCAGAACUUUAAUCGAGCAGGUCUCUGUUGAAUAAUGUACGUGCGCUAGGGAAGAUUUCUGAGUGAAACAAAGCAAACACUGAAAGUCAUUUGUGUUCAUGCUCA